rnacentral:rRNA from 2 species
GCAUAUCAAUAAGGCGGAGGAA